rnacentral:lncRNA from 1 species
UUGAGAAAAUAGUUUGGUAUAAGAAGGAUUUUUCUGCACUUGUUUGGAUCUUUAGGCUACAGUCCUUUUACGUGUACAGUCGUACUACACAGUCGUAACCUCCCUAUCGGUCAAACGUUUGAAUCUUUUUGUAUAUUUUGAAUAUUUAGGAAGACUAUAUAGUUAUACAGUUCCAUUAAGCUGUUAUUUUAUUUUUCAGUUAAGUUCUUAUUUACACUAUGAUUGUGAUGUUGUUAGUUGUGAGGAUUAGUUGCAUGUAUUUAUUUGUUACUGUAUUCACCGUAAAGUAAGAACU